rnacentral:rRNA from 1 species
CAGCGAAAGCUGUGCUAAUACCGCAUAAGAUCUACGGAUGAAAGCAGGGGAUCGCAAGACCUUGCGCGAAUGGAGCGGCCGAUGGCAGAUUAGGUAGUUGGUGAGGUAAAGGCUCACCAAGCCUUCGAUCUGUAGCUGGUCUGAGAGGACGACCAGCCACACUGGGACUGAGACACGGCCCAGACUCCUACGGGAGGCAGCAGUGGGGAAUUUUGGACAAUGGGCGAAAGCCUGAUCCAGCCAUGCCGCGUGCAGGAUGAAGGCCUUCGGGUUGUAAACUGCUUUUGUACGGAACGAAAAGUCUCUUUCUAAUAAAGAGGGAUCAUGACGGUACCGUAAGAAUAAGCACCGGCUAACUACGUG